AGUUUUUUCAUAAAAGUUGUGUGUUGAUGCAGCGAGAGAGGAUGGGUCUUUGGGAAGACUGGUUAAUGACGACCAUUUGAUCCCUAACAGUAAAAUGAAGACAAUAACAGUGAAUGGAAAACCUCAUCUCUGUCUCUGCAAUUAAGGACAUAAAUCCAGGGGAAGAGAUUACCUAUAACUAUGGAAACACUGAAUGGCCAUGGAGAGUGAAGGUUUCUGCUCACCCUGACAAAACUGUAGGUGAAGAACCGAUGGGAUCACUAUCCUCGUCUCUUGAACCACAGAAAUGCAAUCAUGUUGUACUGCGCUCAUCAUUUUCAAGCAUUGAAAAAUGCACACAUUGCUUGGGACCUUUUGUUGCCCUCAAGUGGAAUGGUCUGAAAUGUAAAGGUGAGUUUUCCUUGUGUGGUUAUUACUCCUUUAGUAUUUUCAAGGAAAUUUAGGAAAACUAAUCCUC